GCCCCUCAGGGCAGGUGCAGCAUUCUCCCAGGUUUCUGGAGUACGACUGGGGGUUCAUCUCUGGAGGGCCGGGGCUCCCUCACCUCCAGGAAGGAUCCAGUGCAUUGUCAACACCAAGGACACGGGAGCAGGAGGAGCCCACUGAAAAUGACCCGCCACUCUAUCUUUUGAAUGGCAACCUCACUGCCCGCCGAACAGAGAGCAAGAGGACACAGUGAAAGGUCUUUUGCAGUCCAGAUUCUUGCAGCCCCUCCUGGCAUCCCCCAACACAGCAGUGCAAGGAAGGCCCUCUGUCCUCUCCAGGCCCCUCCCAGAGGUUCUCCCAGGGAGGACACCCAGGGAUGAGUGGCUCCUGGGCUCAGCCUGCUCCACUCCCAAGGCCCUUGGGAAAUCAACAGGCUCAGCUCAAGAGAGGCAGAGAAGGGGUGAGGCUAAUAGGUUUUGGUUUUUG
rnacentral:lncRNA from 1 species